UCCCUGGAGGACUAGUGGUUAGGCCAUGGCGCUCUCACUGCUGCAGGCCGAGUUCGAUUCCCAGCCAGGGAG
rnacentral:tRNA from 1 species